GGUAAAUUUCCUGUCUCUACACUCAGUGGCUGAUCAUUUGAUCUUGAUUUUGACCUUAUCACCUCCCACUCUGACAUGCAGACUACACUCCCAUGAUCUUGGAGUAGAUGCUGGGAUCAAAGACAGGAGCAUGAGUCCUAGAAAAUUGAAGUGCUCACUCAUAGCCCAAAGAGUGAGCUACAACAAUUCCCAACAAUAUUAUCCAGUUCUUGAUAAUCCCAUCCUAUUGCGGGUCAAGGAUACUGGCAUUAACAACAGUGCAAGGUCCUUCCAAGGGUCCCAAAGGUGAACUUUCAAUUUUCAUCUAUUUUAAAUUUAUCUGAUCAUAAAAUAUAUGACAUCCAAACCCUGGGAAGUAGAUAAUUAUUGUUGUUCAGACUUCCCAAUAAGGAAAAUGAGCACAGUGACCUAGUAGAAAAGUCAGGAUUCAAACUCAGGACAGUCUGGCUGUAAGCUCCAAUCUCCUUUAAUUAAAUAAUACUACAAUU